rnacentral:tRNA from 1 species
GCCUUUCGGGGGCAGGCGUGAGCAGACGCGGUUUCGGGGACCGCGACACUCGCUCUCAUGCGUUCGGGUCACAUGAAAGGUG